rnacentral:lncRNA from 1 species
ACAGUGUCCAAAACUAUAGAAAGUGUCGAUACAUGACUCAGAAAGUAUCGACACAUGAAAACAGUGUUUCAAUGUCGACACAUGUGGAUAGUAACCAAACUCUUAAAGACUGGUAAUCAAGUGUUUACACAUGACAUUAAAGUGUUGACACAUGUGGACAGUAGCCAAACUUUUUGAGGACGGAUGAUCAAGUUUCGACACAUAACUCAUAAAGUGUCGACACCUGCAGAUAGUGUGUUUCAACUGAAGGAAGAAGGCUUAAAGUGUCAACACAUGUUCCAGAAAGUGUCGACACAUGUGAUCAAAAGGUCAGACGCAGAAAGUGUCAACACAUGUUAAUGGAAGUGUUGACAUAUGAAGCCCAGAAAGUGUGACACCUAACGGCUAUAUUUUUAAAUAUAAAGUGGUCUAAAAUAAUAUUUAAUGCACCACAAGUAUCACCAAUUGUUUAAUUUUCUUCAAGUCAUUAUAUACAAGGCUCCAAAGACAUUUAACAAUAAUGACAUAUAACCCUAUUGUAUUGAUUGGUCAUCAAAGAGUUUUAAAGUCAAGAUUUCUUAAAAAUUCUUUUUGUCUUUAAUAGUUGGCAUUUAUUGUAUGAUUCCACAUCCAUUCAUCUAUGAGAGGUUUGUUUUUAUGUAAAAUCUUUCAUUUAUUUUUAUCUUGUAAGUUUGAGUAUAAGCUUGGACCAAAAACACUUAGAAGAGAUAAAGAAAGUCUUGAACAAAACUUCGUGAAAGAACUUGGAAAUAAGUUCUGUAUAAAAAGUGAGUGAGCACUUGUAAAUCAACUGUUCAUUGUAAUUGUUGAUUGUAAAUAGUGAAAGAAGAUCUUGCAGAGACCUUAGAAGGACGUAGAUCACUAAUUGUGAUCGAAUCUCGGUAAAUCUUAGUGUGCUCUCUCAUACUCUUGAUUUAAUUUAUUCUUAUAUUUAUUACAUUGCUCACAAGUAGAUUUAUUGUUUUAGUGAUUAUAUUAAUUUUUAAUUAAUCGUAAUUGCUAAUUAAACUUAAAAAACUCAAUUCACCUCUCUCUUGGGUUGUCUAUUGGGCAACCCCUCCCCCUUCCCCUCCCCCCAGGUGAUAUUUUCAAAAAAUAUAAAAAAUAUGCUGCAGUUGUCAGAAACUUUAAGGGGAGAUCUGUGAAAUUUACCCAAAAUAAAUAUAAAAAAUGGGGCCAAGAGAGAAACUUUUGAGGUCUAAAUAGAAUUAACCACUUUAACAUGGAGUUUUGUGACAUGAUCGAAUUAAGUAAAUAUUAGUCACCAUUAACAUUAGUUAGGAUGAGUCUCCCCUAAAAUAAUUUAAUUGGUAAUUUAACUUGGGAUGGGAUCGGACGAGUUCAGCGUGGGGUCUUCAUGGAUUGGACCUGUUCUAUUAGAUUUGGAUUUUAAUUGUUCUUCUAGAUUUGGGUUUUUAAUUGUAACAACAUCCAAUCCGAUGGAGAGAAAUUACAAUGUUCCACAUUCACAUCACGUUGAUUAAAUACGUAUUAAGAACAAUAAGUUUAUCAAAUAUAUAUUAAGAACAACUAUUUUUUAAUUAUUUAAUUUAAAAUUUAUUAUUUGCAUGUAUCCUCAACACAAGUUAUGCCGCGUAAUGAAUCCAAACCAUGGGUAUGUUUUUUCUUGGUCACGGAAAGUGAUGAACUGAUGGUUAUUAAAAGGGAAAAUACUUUUACCCGCAUUAAUCAUAGUUUUCGAACCAUUUUUUGGGGUACAGUUAUCUCAUUAGUUUAAAAUAUGUUAUUAACCUUACUUACUUUUGAAACUAAUGUCAAUAUUCCUUCUAAAAAUAAAAAUAAUAAACUUAUCUUUGAUUUAGGGCUUUUAAUUUUUUUUUCUCAAUACACAUUAAAAUAAAUAAACAUCCUCUUUGUUUCAAAAAAAUAACACUUAAAAAAUUUAUUUUUUAAGUAUAUUUAGACUAUGAGCAGUUAAAAAGUAAAAUAUUUAGAUCAUUUUUUAAAAAAAUUAUUAACAAAUAUAUAUUUAUUUUAAUGGGUAUAUUGAAAAAUUCCUUUUGGAAGCCCUAAAUCAAAGGUUAGUUUCGAAAUUAAGAAAAAUCAGUUUUAUUUUUGAAAUCAUAGAAGAAGAAGUAGUUGUAUUUGUCAGAAAUCUUAAGUAACAGUGAAAUUUAUCUUUUUUUUUUUAAGUAUUCGAACCCUUUUGUUGUAGUGUGAUUCCUAAAUAAAAUCAUCCCAGAAUAGUCAAUGAACAAGAAGAAAAACAAUUAAGUCAGAUUCCCCAGAUCCACAAACAGGUUUAUUUUUCAUAAAACUUGGAAACAGAAAUAAAAACAAAAGGCUUUCAGCUUAUCAUACCAAUUUCUGAAGCAACAAACUAUGGGGAAAAGAACACACUAAAUCCUACGCCCUAAUUCUUCAUUCAAAUCAUAAAAUCCUAAAUUAAUUGUCCUAUGAAUCAUUCAUUGGAAGUCCAAAGAGCGAAAUUGUCCCUCAAAAGUUGCAGGAUGAGGAAGCUGUCUUUGUGAAACUUAUG